rnacentral:rRNA from 1 species
CCUACGGGUGGCAGCAGUGAGGAAUAUUGGUCAAUGGGCGGAAGCCUGAACCAGCCAAGUAGCGUGAGGGAUGAAGGCCCUACGGGUCGUAAACCGCUUUUGCACGGGGAUAACACCCUCAACUUGUAGAGGUCUGCAGGUACCGUGAGAAUAAAGGCCGGCUAAUUCCGUGCCCGCAGCCGCGGUAAUACGGAAGGAACGAGCGGUAUCCGGAUUUAUUGGGGUUAAAGGGGGCGUAGGCGGGCCUGCAAGGCAGCUGUAAAAUCCGGCGGCUCAACCGCGCCCCGCAGUUGAAACUGGCCGCCUUGAGUGCACAACAGGCAGGCGGAAUGCGUGGUGUAGCGGUGAAAUGCAUAGAUAUCACGAGGAACCCCGAUUGCGAAGGCGGGUUCCUGGACAUUAACUGACGCUGAGGCACGAAAGCCUGGGGAGCGAAAAGGAUUAGAUACCCUAGUAGUC